UGCGAAGGGGGCUAGCGUUGCUCGGAAUUACUGGGCGUAAAGGGCGCGUAGGCGGACAUUUAAGUUAGAGGUGAAAGCCCAGGGCUCAACCCUGGAAUAGCCUUUAAUACUGGAUGUCUUGAGUUCGGGAGAGGUGAGUGGAACUCCGAGUGUAGAGGUGAAAUUCGUAGAUAUUCGGAAGAACACCAGUGGCGAAGGCGACUCACUGGCCCGAUACUGACGCUGAGGCGCGAAAGCGUGGGGAGCAAACAGG
rnacentral:rRNA from 1 species